UCACCCUAAAAACAAAGGUGGUCAGUGAAUCGACAAUCUUUUUGACAACCGACGGUACUUUGACGCUCAAGUCAGUCUUCAAGAUAAUCUGUAGCCUAAAGAACCACAAAAUAGAGCUUAAACUUUACCUUGAGGUCUUGCCCUUCUUUAUAUUGGAGGAGUUUUAUACUUUUACAAACUCAUUUGAAUAUCUGAAGAGAUUUCCCCAAAUCAAUUUCUCGAUUUAGUGGUAGGCUAAUCCCAAAAUAAUGAGUUUAUGGUUAAUGGUAAAAUCAACCAAUUGGAGUGACCAAUAAGAAGAAGAGAGUGAGCUGAACAUUUGAAUAUUCAACUUGGAUUGUAAAAGACUAUAUGCCAAUGUACAGAUUUGAAUGUAACCAACGGUUACAUUGAUUAGACUAAUAAAAGAAUAAGAAACAUUUGGGAUAAAAGGACCUAGUGGGCCAACAUGAUUGAGCCCAAAACAUAUAGACUAAAGAGACUCAUAGAAGGCUGACCGAAAGAUAAUAAGGAACUAAAAGCCCCAAAUAAGAGAAGCCCAGCGACAAGCCCAAUCUUAGCUUAAUGAGAACUUUAUCUUCGACGUCGAGAAUGGUAGACUUCCUCUUCAUUCUGAUCUACAAUCUAACAUCCCCCGCAUGCUAAGCAUAGGGGUUAGGCAUGAUUAGCUUGGCAAGAAUAUAUUGGAAUCGUUGUACUGAGAGAGGCUUUGUGAGAAGGUCCGCAAGUUGAUCAAUCGAAUGCAUGCGUGUUCCUGAUGUUUGGAGAUAGCAGCAAAAAAAAUUAACAUGAGAAUCAUGUUGAAAAUAAUGUUUUGUAGAUGUAUGAGAAUCAUGCUAAUGGUAAUUAUGAGCAGAUGCUAUAUCACAAACAAAAUCUAACAGGUGAGAUGGUUUUCUUCUCACUCUAGUAUGUAAAACAUUAUCGUCUAUAGGUAUGGUUUGUGUAGUGGUAUGUGCAAGAGUAGUUUUUGUAAGAAAAAUCGUUUGUAAAAAAGAGUUGUAGGUUUCAAAAAAUUUUGUUUAUGCAA